rnacentral:rRNA from 1 species
UACGGAGGGUGCAAGCGUUAUCCGGAUUCACUGGGUUUAAAGGGUGCGUAGGCGGGCAGUUAAGUCAGUGGUGAAAUCCUGGAGCUCAACUCCAGAACUGCCAUUGAUACUAUCUGUCUUGAAUAUUGUGGAGGUAAGCGGAAUAUGUCAUGUAGCGGUGAAAUGCUUAGAUAUGACAUAGAACACCUAUUGCGAAGGCAGCUUACUACGCAUAUAUUGACGCUGAGGCACGAAAGCGUGGGGAUCAAACAGG